rnacentral:misc_RNA from 1 species
UGGCUGAGGGUGUGAGCCGUGAGGGGUUCUCGUCUGUAGUGGACGAGGGCCGGGUGCACAACAACAGGCAAUCGCCAGACACACUAUUGGGCCCUGAGACAACACUCGGCCGACUUCGGUUGAAGUGGUGUCCCUCCAUCUUGGUGGUGGGGUGUGGUGUUUGAGUAUUGAAUAGUGGUUGCGAGCAUACGGAGGUCCCUCCAUCUAGUGGUUGCAAAGCAUCAACAUCUACAUCCUUACUAAUGCUCUCUGGGAUUGUUGUUAGC